rnacentral:rRNA from 1 species
UACAGAGGGGGCAAGCGUUGUUCGGAAUUACUGGGCGUAAAGGGCGCGUAGGCGGCCUCCUAAGUCGAACGUGAAAUCCCUGGGCUCAACCCAGGAACUGCGUCCGAUACUGGGAGGCUUGAAUCCGGGAGAGGGAUGCGGAAUUCCAGGUGUAGCGGUGAAAUGCGUAGAUAUCAGGAGGAACACCGGUGGCGAAGGCGGGUCUCUGGGCAGUAACUGACGCUGAGGAGCGAAAGCGUGGGGAGCGAACAGG